CGAACGCUCGGCGGAAUGCUUUACACAUGCAAGUCGAACGGCAGCACGGACUUCGGUCUGGUGGCGAGUGGCGAACGGGUGAGUAAUAUAUCGGAACGUAUCCAAUAAUGGGGGAUAACUAAUCGAAAGGUUGGCUAAUACCGCAUACGCCCUACGGGGGAAAGCUAGGGAUCUUCGGACCUGGCGUUAAUGGAGCGGCCGAUAUCUGAUUAGCUUGUUGGUGAGGUAACGGCUCACCAAGGCUACGACGGGUAGCUGGUCUGAGAGGAUGAUCAGCCACACUGGGACUGAGACACGGCCCAGACUCCUACGGGAGGCAGCAGUGGGGAAUCUUGUGCAAUGGACGAAAGUCUGACACAGCCACGCCGCGUGCGGGAAGAAGGCCUUCGGGUUGUAAACCGCUUUCAGCAGGAACGAAAAUGACGGUACCUGCAGAAGAAGGAGCGGCCAACUACGUGCCAGCAGCCGCGGUGACACGUAGGCUCCAAGCGUUGUCCGGAUUUAUUGGGCGUAAAGAGCUCGUAGGCGGUUCAGCAAGUCGGGUGUGAAAACUCUGGGCUCAACCCAGAGCCUGCACCCGAAACUGCUGUGACUAGAGUUCGGUAGGGGAGUGGGGAAUUCCUAGUGUAGCGGUGAAAUGCGCAGAUAUUAGGAGGAACACCGAUGGCGAAGGCACCACUCUGGGCCGAAACUGACGCUGAGGAGCGAAAGCGUGGGUAGCAAACAGGAUUAGAUACCCCUGGUAGUCCACGCCGUAAACGAUGGGCACUAGGUGUGGGU
rnacentral:rRNA from 1 species